rnacentral:miRNA from 1 species
GUGUGUGUGCAUGCACAUAUGUUUGUGUAUGUGUAUAUGCGUGUAUAUAUAUCUACACACAUACAUAUACAUAUAUGUGUAUAUAUAUGCACACACAUAUAUAUAUGUGUAUAUAUAU